rnacentral:rRNA from 1 species
UACGUAGGGUGCGAGCGUUAAUCGGAAUUACUGGGCGUAAAGCGUGCGCAGGCGGUUCGUUGUGUCGGCGGUGAAAGCCCCGGGCUCAACCUGGGAAUGGCCGUUGAAACUGGCGAACUGGAGUGUGGCAGAGGGGGGGUGGAAUUCCGCGUGUAGCAGUGAAAUGCGGUAGAGAUGCGGAGGAACACCCGAUGGGCGAAGGCAGCCCCCCUGGGCUAACACUGACGCUCAGGCACGAAAGCGUGGGGAGCAAACAGG